CGAUAACGAACGAGACCUUAACCUGCUAAAUAGCCCGUAUUGCUUUGGCAGUACGCCGGCUUCUUAGAGGGACUAUCGGCUCAAGCCGAUGGAAGUUUGAGGCAAUAACAGGUCUGUGAUGCCCUUAGAUGCUCUGGGCCGCACGCGCGCUACACUGACAGAGCCAGCGAGUACUCCCUUGGCCGGAAGGCCCGGGUAAUCUUGUUAAACUCUGUCGUGCUGGGGAUAGAGCAUUGCAAUUAUUGCUCUUCAACGAGGAAUCCCUAGUAAGCGCAAGUCAUCAGCUUGCGUUGAUUACGUCCCUGCCCUUUGUACACACCGCCCGUCGCUACUACCGAUUGAAUGGCU
rnacentral:rRNA from 1 species